rnacentral:rRNA from 1 species
ACUCAAAUGAAUUGACGGGGGCCCGCACAAGCAGCGGAGCAUGUGGUUUAAUUCGAAGCAACGCGAAGAACCUUACCAGGUCUUGACAUCGAGGCAAAGCCGCGGAAAUGCGGUGUUCAGCAAUGAAGCCGAAGACAGGUGGUGCAUGGUUGUCGUCAGCUCGUGUCGUGAGAUGUUGGGUUAAGUCCCGCAACGAGCGCAACCCUUAUUGUCAGUUACUAACGGGUAAAGCCGAGGACUCUGACGAGACUGCCGGGGACAACUCGGAGGAAGGUGGGGACGACGUCAAAUCAUCAUGCCCCUUAUGACCUGGGCUACACACGUGCUACAAUGGUGGUAACAAAGAGAUGCGAGCUCGUAAGGGUAAGCGAAUCUCAUAAAAGCCAUCUCAGUUCGGAUUGUGGGCUGCAACCCGCCCACAUGAAGUUGGAGUUGCUAGUAAUCGCGGAUCAGCAUGCCGCGGUGAAUACGUUCCCGGGCCUUGUACACACCGCCCGU